rnacentral:lncRNA from 1 species
AGCGCCUGAAUGGGAGUUUAAUGAAGACGUCGUUCCUAUAAGAAAUGGGGCACAGCUUCCGGAAAACCCUCAUGAAAACCAAAAGCUACAGGAGGCAAGAAGGGAGGGACGAAGGAAGACGGUGAGUGGCGUCGACCCCUGCCCAUCCUACAGGGAGGCCAGUUCAUCAGUGAAACACUGAGACACGAAUCCCCCCCUUCCCAGAAGGCGGCCUUGUCUAAUAACAAGAUCCCAAGAACCGAAGAAUGAAACGAAAAUUCGCAACCGAGGUAAGACCGGAAGAAGAUCCGACCUGCAACCCCAGACAAGGAACUCUGCAAGCGCAAGACGGCAACGCCACAGAGCGGACCCGAACACAUCGAGGUGCAAAUGCAUCCAGGAGCCGGAAGACCAAUACGAUGCCGCUCGUCUUACGUCCUACAGAGGAUUGAAGCGGCACAGGGGAGGGAAGAGGAGAGGGCGCAGAUCUCUGCUUCGGAGAUUCAUCGGAAUAUCCAAUCUACAUACAGCGGAGGAGAAGAGGGAGGUUCCUUCCGGGCAGCAGGAGAUCGAUCCUCCGGCAGCCUCCCUCUGGAGCAGCUCCGACGUCGCUCCGGCGGGCGGCCUACUAAACCCCUAGUUCCCGGGUUCUUCUCGAAUUCCUCGCUA